ensembl:lncRNA
UGACUUUGCUCCCUGCCCUGAUGGGUUGCACUCCAAGUUGCAUAGGGAUGCCUGAGCCUUACGCCUGGUGCUGCAGAUUGCUGCUGAACAUGAAUGCCAGUGGCAGCUAGACAGGCUUGCCUGAGGGGAAGAACGUGUGCUGUACACCCAAGAUCAAAGCAGGACAAUUUCCUGCAUUGCCUUCAGGCAUCAUUUUGACUGCAUGAGUUGUGUGCUGGUUGUUUCUCUCUUUGGGCUUCCAGAAGAAGUGGGAUCUGAUAACCUAAUUCUCUGGAUCACUUUGGAUUGUGCAUCUUCAAGGGCUGGCAUAACCAGGCUGGCUCCAGUGACAGUGGCUGAGCCUCCUAACACCUUACCAAAGGCUGAAGGAGAUGUGAUACCUCAGAACAGCUGGCUCUGCCCAAGGAUUUGGCAUCCACUGCUCCUCUUGAAGCCCAGGAGACCCGAGAGAAGUGCUGGAGGUACAACACAGCUGGAAGCUCGGUGAGCACAAUUUAAAAACACUAAUUUGAGACAGGAAUCUAACAUUACCUUGGGCUAAUCGUUCUGAAAUUAAUCAUCUGAAUCCAUUACCUGCCUAGGUAAUCACCGUAGCAAUCGCAAAACAAACAAUUGCAGUGUUAAAGUUAUCAAGGCAGCCUAAGGAAAUAAAGACCCGAGUUGGAGUUUUGGAGAGUGUUUAAGAUUAUGCACAUGUGAUGUCUUGAAGGAAAAGAUGAGCUUAUUGCCUGGCUGGGGGUCUUCUGUGCCCAAGCUGUCCAGGUUCCAUGCUGUUCAGUGGCUGUUCGGUGGUGUUCAGCCCUUUAGGCUGGUUGAGGAAUAUCUUUUAUUGAAAAAGUCAUGCUGCAGCCAGCUGAACUGCAUGAAAUCAUCAUUUGGAUUGAAGUAAAAAGCAGUAAACAUGAUUAAAUGGAUAUUAAAAGGAGUCUGAGGGAAGGAAAAGGGCACAGGCACCCAUAUAUCUCAUUACAGGGUAUCUAUUAUCAACGAAGUCAGAAAAGCAGCUGUUGGAAUUGUGUGCAGAAAGCUCGUAAGUCAUGAUGUCUUUAUAUGAAAAUGUGCAGUUAGCAUCUUGCUGUGAUAGUAUCAGCAACAGUUUUGAGCUUUAGCCAUUCUCUGGAGUUCAAGCUCCAUGCAAACCAGCUGAACUCUGUCUGUCCCUGUUGAGGGGGGAUUCUAGACACUUAGACUGGCUCUUCUGCUGCAGUGUGGAAGAAUCAACAAGUUCAUGGUUCAGGAAUGCUGCUAAGAAACCACAACAAGGGACUAUGAACAAUUGCAGAUCCAGCUUCCCUAUGGAAAAAGGUGGGGGUGACCCACAACAGAACCACUCCAGGAUUUGACUCAUCUGCCCCAGGAGCUGUAAAAGCAGCACAUAAUGUUGCUUGUUACAGAGAACAUGGAAUUUCCAGGUGGCAGCCAGGAAAGGUGUCCAGGAAAGGUCCCUCCAGCCUUCCCUGGUAUUUGCAAGCUGUGCUGAGUGAUGCACAUGUGUGCUGCACUCGGUGCAGGGUGGGCAUUGGAUAUAGUGGCUCCAAGGUGGCACAGUUGUGUCCCACAGGUGUGCAGUUUUGCAAAGAACAGAUCUCCAAAUUGUCUGUGUUUGGGGAGGUGACAGAAAAACACCAAAGAAACCAAGCUUCCAAUGUUUAAAGGAGGCCUGCAGGAAGGAUUGGGAAUGUCUCUUUAUCAAGGAGUAUAGGUUAGGACAAAGGGUAACGGCUCUAAACUAAAAGAGAGUAAGUUUAGAUUAGAUCUCAGGAAAAAAUUCUUCACUCAGAGAUUGGUGAGGCCCCACACUGCUGCCCAAAGCUGUGGGUGUCCAUCCCUGGAUGUGCCCAAGGCCUUAGAUGGCCCUGGAUUCAGCCUGAGGUGGGGGGCUGUCCCUGCCCAUGGCUGAAGUUGGGUCUGGAUGGGCUUUUUGUCCUUCCGACCCAUUCUAUGAUUCUACAGAAAAAAAAUAAAAAAAUAAAAAAAAAUUCCAGCAGAACUGUUGGAUGCCAGUAUAACCUAUUCUGUGGUGCCUCUUUGACCCUUCUUACAAAGCUGAUGGAUGGGGCUUUUUGCAUAUGAGAAGAUAUAAGCCAUAAAAGGCAAGAGUAGAAGUAUGUUCCUGGAUCUGCAGAUCCUAGAAACAUCUAGCCCUACUCAUUGAUUACAAUUUUUAACUUAUUCCAGGCGUUUUACAAAUUGACCAAUGACUUUGUGCAAAGAUGAGAUGUUUGGUACAUGUGUGCAAGUAUAUAUAUAGAUUGGAAUCAUGCUGUGAGCAAGUUUAAAAUAAGAAAAUACAGAUGUUUAUGGAAAAUGGGAAUGCUGUAAGUUCUCCAGUAUGUUGUCAGAUAAAGGACAGAGCUAACAACAUAAGGAACACUAGAAAAAGAUUUCAGAAGAAGGUAUUUUCUAACAGCCUCCACUUCUUUGAUUUUUCUUUUUGUCAGAUGUUCCUAAUAGUAAAUCACAAUGUAGCAUCAAAUGACUGAGAGUUAAUGAAUGUCAUUAGUAAUUGUGUCGUGACAAACACGUGUUUUUAAAGCAUGAUGAUUAUUAACAGUUGCAGAAUGGAAAUGGUCUGUACUGUUUUCAACACACUGGUCUUGUAUGUGUCUACAAAGGACAGAAUCUUUCAUCUACACUGUAGAGAAAAUUUGUCACUGGGACCAAAUGCUGUCUCUGGCUAUAAAAUGGUAAAAUCUUGUUUUGUGGACUGUUGUGUUUACAUCAUAGCUUUUCACAAGCUCUGACAGUGUUCUUUUCAUACCCACUCUUCAGCCAGCAUACCAAACAGCCCUGUAUGCAUCGCAGCAGCAGCUCUGUAUCUGCACAGCUUCUUUGAGGCUGAUAACCCUGCUGACUUCCCAUCUGUAAAAGAAAACACGCAGGAGGUUGUUGCUCCUGCUAAAGAAGUCAUGUUGUCUAGCUUUACAGUUUCACAUGGCUAUAUAUCUAGACCCGAGGUCCUAAAAGCCUGACACUGCUGAAGGAGUGCAUACUGCACAUACUUGAUUGCCUGACUCAUAAGACUGGUGCCAGGACUUUGGCUUUUCAUUUCUAUUUAUUCACCACGGGAAACCUAAAGUACAAAUAGACUGGAUGAAAGCCUGGCUCCACUGAAGUCAAGGACAAAAUUCUCAUUGAUUUCUGUAGGCAGAGAACUUCACUUCUGUGCUUUUGGUUGUUCUUUACUGUUUCUGGCUUAGAGUGACAUUUGAAAAGGCUCUGUUACCCCUGGUGAUGAUGAAUUCCAACAUCAUUCCCACAUAUGUGUGUGCAAGAAGCCUCUCUUUCUAUCCCAAAGUGCUUGUAGCUUAUGAAGUAAGACAGACUUGAAGAAGAGCUCAGUAAAAAGUUGUUCAUGAAAUGCACACACAGACUUUGGGUUUAAAUCUUCCCUACACCAGGAUAUGGGGAAAGGAAAACAGGGAGGCAUGGCUGACCUGCACAUUGGUUAGCUUUAGCAGCACACAGCUCUGGUAAGGAGCCUUCAUGUGGUGCUUCUUGUGCCCUCCUCUCCUACAUCAUGUCCAGACAUCUCAGAUUUUGGUGGUUCUUUCAGUUGCUACAGCAGCCUAUUGGUGGUGUAAGCUGCCCUGCACUCCUGCUACUGUCAUUUAUGCAUUUUUGUCACUUCUGUAGAGCAGUGAGAACAAUUUUAUCAAAUUUUUGCUACUGUUAGGGAGCAGGACUUGACUGAUGCCUCAUUAACACAUUACAAGAGCUCACCACCUUUUUGUCUGCUGUGUCAAGUGCAAAUUCCGGUAAAUCUUUACUGAAGCACAUGCAUUUCUGUUAACAUACAAUUCCAAGGCAAAAAAUAAUAAAAAAUAAAAAAUUUUAAAGCGUUCAGUAUCUGAGCUGAGAAAUCCACUGGUUUAAAAAAAAAUAAAAUACCAACAGCUCCCCAGUGCCCAAUUAA